CAGAACGGCCGGUGAGCCUGUGGGAUAGCGUCAACCUGACCGCGUAGCAGCGAAGCCGGUGGGAUUCCGGCGCUGUCCCGCAACUGUGAAGUCCUGUACCCCGGGCGUAGCCAGGUCGCCUGCACGCUGGUCGCGAUUCCG
rnacentral:ncRNA from 2 species